rnacentral:rRNA from 1 species
AAACAGCCAAAACUUUCAACAACGGAUCUCUUGGCUCUGGCAUCGAUGAAGAACGCAGCGAAAUGCGAUACGUAAUGCGAAUUGCAGAAUUCAGCGAGUCAUCGAAUCUUUGAACGCACAUUGCGCCCGCCAGCAUUCUGGCGGGCAUGCCUGUCCGAGCGUCAUUU